rnacentral:lncRNA from 1 species
CCGACAUAAGGCUGCUUUUCUCAUGAGUCAGUUACCAGUCAGACACAAGGCUGGCACAGUUCCUAAGCAGCCCACCAAAACCUCCUUGUCUACAGGAAGUGGGCAGUGAGAGUAUCUUUCAACUGCUGCUGCUUGAGCCACAGAGUUCCCCGUGGCAGCUGCUAGCUGAAGAGGAGGUAGAGGAAGCAGUCGCUGUAUAGGAACGAGACAAAAACAAAAUCUCAGAGCAAAAGCAGAGAUGUCUUUUCAUCAUUUUAUUCCCUGAGGAGCAGAACGAAUGAGUCAGCAGAAUCAGGCACUAAUACACCCAAGCAAAUUAUUCAUGCACAAUGGCAAAACAGAGGCUGACUGAGUGUAAAGCAAGUCAUAACAUUUCCCUAAACUGAUACAGCCAAGUGACAUGGUGGAAUAUUUGUCCCCACCCAAAUCUCACGUCGAAUUGUAAUCCCCACUGCUGGAGAUGGGGCCUGGUGGGAGGUGUCUGGAUGGCAGGGUGGAUCCCUCAGGGCUUGGGUGCUGUCUAUGUGGUAGUGGCUGAAUUCUUGCAAGAUCUGGUCCUUGAAAAGUAGGUGGGACUGCCCCACUCUUUGCUCCUGCUUUCGCCAUGUAAAGUGCCUGCUCCCCUUUCGCCUUCUGCCAUGAUUGUAGCCUUCCUUAGGCCUCCCUAGAAGCCGAAAUGCUUCCUGUACAACCUGCAGAACCGUUCCAGAGGAUCCUGAAAACUCAAGAAGAGUAACAACUCACCAAACAAGAUCCAAGUAAGGGGGAAGAAACUCAGGACUGCAAAACACCUGGAGGGAGAGAGCUCCACGAGGAUCCAUGCCAUCAUGGCACUUUGGGAGGCCUGUCACGAGUUACACAGGCCUAGGCUGCCCACACCCCAGCUCAGCAGAAAAAGAGAACUGCAAUCCAAGUCAGACAGAUCCUGCCUGGACUCUCCGCAGAGAGCCUGGAGAGUCUGACCAGCAAAGAAACAGCAAUCUUCCUACCUACCCCACUCUCAAUCCCCCCCACCCCAAUCCAGGCUCCCGAAGAAGAAAAACAAACAACAACAGAGCAGGCAAUUGCACAAGAGCUGCAGAGUGAAGGCGAGGUGGACGGCAACGGCUUCUCGGCUGUGCCCCGUAUCUCUUCCCAGAACACUGAUGACAAAGCUGGAGACGUUACUCACAUGCUGAGCCAGUCAGCCCCUCACCCAGGGCUGGUGCUGAGAAGUCUGACUAGAAACCGGCAGUCAACGCUGACACACUCAUUUAUAAUAAAAGGUG